UUGGAGGGCAAGUCUGGUGCCAGCAGCCGCGGUAAUUCCAGCUCCAAUAGCGUAUAUUAAAGUUGUUGCAGUUAAAAAGCUCGUAGUUGAAUUUCGGGAUCAAUUUAUUGGUCGUGCAAUAGUACGUACUGAUUUUAUUGAUUCCUCUCUUCUGAAGAACUAUGAUGUCAUUAAUUUGGUGUCAUAGGGAAGCAGGACUGUUACUUUGAAAAAAUUAGAGUGUUUAAAGCAGGCUCACGCUUGAAUACAUUAGCAUGGAAUAACGAAAUAGGACGUUUGAUUCUAUUUUGUUGGUUUCUAGGAUCGACGUAAUGAUUAAUAGGGAUAGUUGGGGGCAUUAGUAUUCAAUUGUCAGAGGUGAAAUUCUUGGAUUUAUUGAAGACUAACUACUGCGAAAGCAUUUGCCAAGGAUGUUUUCAUUAAUCAAGAACGAAAGUUAGGGGAUCGAAGACGAUCAGAUACCGUCGUAGUCUUAACCAUAAACUAUGCCGACUUAGGGAAUCCGGGGAA
rnacentral:rRNA from 1 species